AAACCCUAACCGACAACUUCAUCUCCUACAUCAGAUCCAUCAUCAUGUAUUCAUCUUCUUCAUUCGUCCUGUAAAUCAAACAAUCCUUAUUUUUCCUUAAUCCUCUGCAUUCCUUCGGAUCGACAAGCAGCGAUCUUCUCUGAUUCAAGCUUUGGUGAUCGAAUGUGUUGUGUUUUGAUGUCUUGAUAAUCCAUUUCACAUUUUCGGGUUUGAUUAGGAUUUAUUUUUAUUCAGAUUUCGUUUUUUUUUUCAAAUUAGUUUUAGUUAGGGUUUUUUUU